UGGCUCAGGAUGAACGCUGGCGGCACGCCUAACACAUGCAAGUCGAACGGAGUUAUUGAAGCUUGCUUGAUAAACUUAGUGGCGGACGGGUGAGUAACACGUGAGCAACCUGCCUUCAGAGAGGGAUAGCUUCUGGAAACGGAUGGUAAUACCUCAUAACAUAUUGAUACGGCAUCGUAUUGAUAUCAAAGAUUUAUCGCUGAAAGAUGGGCUCGCGUCUGAUUAGCUGGUUGGUGAGGUAACGGCCCACCAAGGCAACGAUCAGUAGCCGGACUGAGAGGUUGAACGGCCACAUUGGGACUGAGACACGGCCCAGACUCCUACGGGAGGCAGCAGUGGGGAAUAUUGCACAAUGGGCGCAAGCCUGAAUGCAGCGAUGCCGCGUGAGGGAAGAAGGUUUUCGGAUUGUAAACCUCUGUCAUCGGGGACGAAAAUGACGGUACCCGAGAAGGAAGCUCCGGCUAACUACGUGCCAGCAGCUGC
rnacentral:rRNA from 1 species